AUUGAACGCUGGCGGCAGGCUUAACACAUGCAAGUCGAGCGGAGAUGAGGUGCUUGCACCUUAUCUUAGCGGCGGGCGGGUGAGUAAUGCUUAGGAAUCUGCCUAUUAGUGGGGGACAACAUUCCGAAAGGAAUGCUAAUACCGCAUACGUCCUACGGGAGAAAGCAGGGGAUCUUCGGACCUCGCGCUAAUAGAUGAGCCUAAGUCGGAUUAGCUAGUUGGUGGGGUAACGGCCUACCAAGGCGACGAUCUGUAGCGGGUCUGAGAGGAUGAUCCGCCACACUGGGACUGAGACACGGCCCAGACUCCUACGGGAGGCAGCAGUGGGGAAUAUUGGACAAUGGGGGGAACCCCGAUCCAGCCAUGCCGCGUGUGUGAAGAAGGCCUUAUGGUUGUAAAGCACUUUAAGCGAGGAGGAGGCUACUGAGACUAAUACUCUUGGAUAGUGGACGUUACUCGCAGAAUAAGCACCGGCUAACUCUGUGCCAGCCGCCGCCGUAACAC
rnacentral:rRNA from 1 species